GUUUAUAAAAACAUUGGUCUUGUAAGCCAAAGAUUGAAGACUACGCCCCUUCUUAGAGUU
rnacentral:tRNA from 1 species